rnacentral:lncRNA from 1 species
CCAGAGACGUUCAACUACUCCAGCUUGUUCAUGGACUUCUCUUGCAAUCUGGCGACAAUCAAUGUCAUUAUUUUUACAGACUGCAUUCCAUUCACUUCCAGUAUACUCAGCAGCUUCACUGAGCAUUACAGAUAUGCUAUACCUUUCAGUAGGGUUCGAAUGAUUAAUCUGUUGUUUCAUCCAAGUUAUAAAACUUUUAAAGCAACCUGUUACUUCAUCUGAAUUUCUAGUUUCCAUGAAGUAAAUCUUGCAGAUUCUGGAAGCACUGUCUACAAAUGCAAUGAUAUAUUUUUCCCCUUUUAUUCCAGGGAACAUGAUGUAGUUUACAUCUGUGUUUACCAGAUGACCUACAAUUUUAACCUCUUUUGAGAGUUUAGAAUCCCGCUUUUGUGAGAUUGGUUCCCCCCCUUGCUCUGCAGAAUCUGUAACUUCCAUUCCUUGCUCUAUAUCCUGAGGCAGUUGUUGAAUACUAUAUAUGGAUUGGUUACCAGGGAUGAUCAUUGUAUUCGCCGUCCUCCGGGGAAGACCCCCAUCUUCAGGAUUGACCCCUUUGGCCACUUGAUGCUCACCAUCCUUCGGUGGAAUUCGGGUACUACAUUUGGCGUACCUGACUUGCUCCGGGACGUGAGUCCCCGCCUUAGGAUGAAGCAUGGCAGUAUACCAGGGUCGUUUCGGAGCUCUGGAUGUUACAAUGCGUUUCGCUUUUGUAAUAUUGCAGGCUGGACACACUGUGAAGCACUGUCUACAAAUGCAAUGAUAUAUUUUUUCCUAAGAAUCUCCUUAGAAUCUCUUGAGAGACGCGCAAGUAUGUUUGUUGACUGCGCUUAGUUUUAAGUCUAGCUUUUAAGACUGUAGUAGCUACCUUGGGUACAUACGUAGCUACGUACGUAGCUACGUACCUACCAGGGGUUAUAACUUUUAAUAGUAUUAAAUAAUGAGUAAGUAAAAGUUUACUUAGUUUUUCGAAAGGCGAAGACUUUUGCGGGUCGAGCAAAAUUAGACCGUCGAUUGUGAGUUAAAACUGCGGUACCUUGAAAUAUUUAUUUAUUUACCUUUUUUUCCGGCAGUCGUGUAUUUACUUAGUGUCGAAAUUUUAGUAAUAAGUUAUCCCCUGGUACCUACGUAGCUAGCUAGCUACGUACUUUUGUACGAAAGUACUACGUAGUACGUAGCUAACGUUUUACUGUAACCGGUGUGUUCAUAUGCGGGUUCAAAUAAAACUCAGCAGGCUCGCAAGUUACGAUCUCAAUAUUUAUAGGCACUGUCUUCGAAGACACGCGCGGCAUCGAUGAUGGCGCAUACUAUCCACUGAAGAAGAAGAAAAAAAGGAGCCGCCUGGUCUCACUUUUCCCAGCUCCUGCUUGUACAUAUCCCCAAUACAAGGUGUUUCACAGCUGCUUUCGGGUUCAACUACCAUUCUCAUGGAUCGUUCUGUAUCAUCAUACGACGGCACGAUCUGGAAAAUAGUAUCACGUUGUGAUUAAAGUUUCAUCAGGACCGUUUUCCACCGUUCAACAACUUCCCUUUUGUGUUUUUCACUAAAUUCUUGAAGAACUUGAAUUUGCUUUCCAAAAUCGGUACGUUCUAUGACAUCAGGCAGUGCUUCCCAACUAUCAAAAUAUAUAAAAACGUGUGCUAGUGUGGGAUCAUACCAUUCUGACGCGUCAAGAUUUUCUUUGUCGAAAGGAGGUGACCAGAAAAUUUCCUCCUCCGCCAAAAGAAGUUUUUUGGAAGGGAUGAAGUACGGUGUGCCUUGAGCAAUCAUUUCAAAUAGGGCGAAAUUAGACCAAGCAUACGGAACGUGGAUGAUGCCCUUGAAGCCUUUUACGUCUAGCGGACCGGCAUAUCUUCCCCGAUAACAUCGAAUGCCGAGUGUAGCACAUUUCGUCGGCGUUCGUUCAUCGUUGUGAUAUGGCGGAAUAAAAAAUGUGGUGCUCUUGUCAACUGUUAAAGGUACUUUUCCCCCACCAUCUUUUUUCACUACAAGUGAGUGCAAGUAGCCGUGCCCGGACGGUCGAAUAACCUGUCGGCCGACCUCUACGUUUCUGACAGUGCGUGCGUAUAUAUGCUCAAACGCAGUGUAGCACACGAUUGCGGUCUUCGAAGAGAGCGCAGCUUUGCGAAUAAGAUUGUAAUACUCCCUUGUUGGAAACUCUUCUGGGUGCUCGCCAGCGUAGCGUUCUGAUUCUUCUUCAGAGACCUGCACAGCUGGUGGAGCGUGUGCGUAGUCGAAUCGAUUGCUUAUCCAUAUCAGUAGUUUGCCUGGAUAGCCAUUUUGAAGAAAGAUACGAGCUAAGGGAG